CUUUGUUCGAGGUCUAUAAAUACUCUGACACAAAAACGUCCAUGCAGAACAAACCCUAACUCCCAAAUUUCACAAUGCAGGGCAAGCAAGGUGGAAAAGCUAAACCAUUGAAGCACCCCAAGGCUGAAAAGAAAGAGUAUGACGAGAUUGACAAGGCCAACCUUCAAAAGAAGAAAGAGGAGGAAAAGGCUCUCAAGGAGCUUAGAGCCAAAGCUCAAAAAGGAGCGUUGGGAGGUGCUGGUCUCAAGAAGAGUGGGAAGAAAUGAGCCUCGCAGAAGUAAAGUUAUUGCAUCUUAUAUAUAACUAAUGAAUGUUGCACUUGAUAUAUAUGUGGUUGCUUGAUUUUAUGAGUUCUAUAUAGAGUCUUUUGUGGCAUUUGGAAUUCUUGAUUUAUGGGCUUAUGAUUUAUGAAAGUCAUUUUGGUUUA